AGCUUUGUGCAGUGGCAGUAUGGUAGCCAAUGAGGUUUAUCUGAGCGCAAUUAUUGCUAAUUGAAAAUUAUUGGUAGGACAAGCAGC
rnacentral:snRNA from 1 species